CGAACGCCGCCCAAACAAGGAGAGGCACCAACUUCGGCGGAAGUCGUGACAGAACAACUGAGUUGAAAUGUACUUGGCUAAGGUGUAUGUAAACUUCCGACUUCAACUGUAUCUAUUUCCUAGGCAACUAGGUCCAAUUAAAUUAGAGAUGCGGAUGAUCAUUUGUUGUAUGGCUCCUUCCGGAAGAGCAACCCAUCACGGCCAGAAAAGUGAAUGCCAGGGAUCUCCAGUGGGGGACUGUUCACGUUGUGUUGUGAAUCCGCUGAGUGGCUGACACCUGGUUGUGGACAGAAGAGAUAAGAAGCUGUGAUGGUGCUGAGCUAAAAGAGACAAAUAAUGCACAAGAGAUCAGAACAGUAGACGAAGGUUGACGUUUAUUGGGCUGUGCCAGCUAGUGACCACUGCAGAGCUGCCUUCAGAACAAGAUUCAUUACAAGAAACGCAAACCUGCGUAGUAGGCGAGAAACACUGGCUCAUAUACUACACAGUGCCUUCAGAAAGUAUUCACACACCUUUACUUUUUCCACAUUUUGUUGUUUUACAUCCUGAAUUAAACAAUUAUUCAUUUGAGAUUGUGUCACUGAUCUAGUGGAAUUUUGUUUGUAGACAUUUGUUUUUAUUAAUAAAAAUGAAAAUCUGAAA
rnacentral:lncRNA from 1 species